rnacentral:rRNA from 1 species
AUUGAACGCUGGCGGCAGGCCUAACACAUGCAAGUCGAGCGGAUGAAGGGAGCUUGCUCCUGGAUUCAGCGGCGGACGGGUGAGUAAUGCCUAGGAAUCUGCCUGGUAGUGGGGGAUAACGUCCGGAAACGGGCGCUAAUACCGCAUACGUCCUGAGGGAGAAAGUAGGGGAUCUUCGGACCCCACGCUAUCAGAUGAGCCUAGGUCGGAUUAGCUAGUUGGUGGGGUAAAGGCCUACCAAGGCGACGAUCCGUAACUGGUCUGAGAGGAUGAUCAGUCACACUGGAACUGAGACACGGUCAAGACUCCUACGGGAGGCAGCAGUGGGGAAUAUUGGACAAUGGGCGAAAGCCUGGUCCAGCCAUGCCGCGUGUGUGAAGAAGGUCUUCGGAUUGUAAAGCACUUUAAGUUGGGAGGAAGGGCAGUAAGUUAAUACCUUGCUGUUUUGACGUUACCAACAGAAUAAGCAGCGGCUAACUUCGUG